UCUCCUCCCAACAUAAACACUUCUUUCUUCUUUACCUCUGUUUAGACGCAGCCAACACUAUGUAGUCUCCCGGCUUCUCUCAAUUCUAAAAAGCCCAAAACCUCUCUCACUCCGUCAGUGGCAAAGACAAAAAAAGAGAUCUGAGAUCUGAGGGCUGCCACCAUGUUGAAACAUCACCCACCUUCAACCCAGCUUCCCGCCAUAUACCGCUGUAACUGCUACCAGUGCAGUUGAACAAUGAAGAAAAAAGAAAAGAAUGGCGAGAUCGAAGACAUCUACAACCCAACUUAGAGAGGAAGCAGAGAAUGCGAAGGAAGAAUCAAAUGGGUUUCUUUUGAAUUGUAUGUACCCAGUUGAUUUUUCGCACACUUUGUCAGUCAAGUACUAAUAGACUGAGAAGCUAAAGCUAAGGGUCCUCCAACUCAUGAAAAGUAUGCAAGACUUGUGUUACUUUCUCAUUGUGUUUCUUCCAACCCAGAUGGAUACAAGAAGAGAGAAGCUUUGACUUGGGGUUGAUGGUCAUUAGUGAAGAGCUUCCAAAUCCAAGUUUUCAAUAUAUAUUCUCUCUGGAUCUGCUUUUAAUUUUUGAUACUCUGCAUUGUUUUUGGGUGGUACUAGGUUUGGUGUUGUUGGCACCUGAGAAGCUCAUUGCUUAGAAGCUUGUGGAAGAGGAGGCCAAACAGAAGUUCAAGUGGGAGUCCAAGAAGGAAAAAUACUUGGUAACAAGUCUCAUACUGGACUGUAUUGUUCAAGAGCUACAGCUGCAUUAAGGUUGCACCAAUUAAAUGCUACUGAAUUUAGAGAUACAAUAAUUAUUGAUGUACUGUAAUAGUUAGCUAGUAGAGAUUAGCAAAUAUUAAGGUAGUUGGCAUUUAAUAGGAUUACUGUUUUUUCUUGAUCAAAAGAAAUCAUUUUCAGUUCAUGCUUUAGGUAGAGACUUGGCAGUGCAUAAAGAUUGAAGAAUGUCUUGAUUUGGUCCGAUGAAAGUUUUGGUUUUA